rnacentral:rRNA from 1 species
AUUGAACGCUGGCGGCAGGCCUAACACAUGCAAGUCGAGCGGAUGAAGGGAGCUUGCUCCUGGAUUCAGCGGCGGACGGGUGAGUAAUGCCUAGGAAUCUGCCUGGUAGUGGGGGAUAACGUCCGGAAACGGGCGCUAAUACCGCAUACGUCCUGAGGGAGAAAGUGGGGGGUCUUCGGACCUCACGCUAUCAGAUGAGCCUAGGUCGGAUUAGCUAGUUGGUGGGGUAAAGGCCUACCAAGGCGACGAUCCGUAACUGGUCUGAGAGGAUGAUCAGUCACACUGGAACUGAGACACGGUCCAGACUCCUACGGGAGGCAGCAGUAGGGAAUAUUGGACAAUGGGCGAAAGCCUGAUCCAGCCAUGCCGCGUGUGUGAAGAAGGUCUUCGGAUUGUAAAGCACUUUAAGUUGGGAGGAAGGGCAGUAAGUUAAUACCUUGCUGUUUUGACGUUACCAACAGAAUAAGCACCGGCUAACUUCGUG